AUUGAACUUCGUUUGCAGUGAAAAUCCUUUUUAUCAGCCUUUUUCGGCUGAUUAAAAGAUUGCAACAAAUAGCUGGAGAUUGC
rnacentral:sRNA from 1 species